ACUCACCACCUUGAUCACCUCCACUUGCCCACAACUUGACCCUUCAUAUAAAUAUAAGAAAAACUUUAAAUACCACCCAUAUGAUUUCAUACUUUCUUACUUAGCAUUCUAUGGUUAAAGUGUAUCGAGUUAGUACCCCGUGCUUUUAUUUUUAUCUUCUUGUUAUCGAUUCUACUAAUUUUUUUGUUAUAUCAGUGACAAAGUUAAAACUAAAGGGUACUAAAAUGAAUAUUCAAUAAACCUAGGUAUGAUAUUUGAAGUUUUUUUGUAUAUAAUUUAAUGAAAUAUUAACGGAGGAGCUGACAAAAAGAUAAAAAUAAAAUCACAGAACAUUAACUUGAUACACUUUAAACCACAUGAUACUAAAGUGAGAAAGUGCGAAACUACAUGGAUGGUAUUUAAAGUUUACCCUAUAAUAU
rnacentral:lncRNA from 1 species